AGAGUUUGAUUCUGGCUCAGGAUGAACGCUGGCGGCGUGCCUAACACAUGCAAGUCGAACGAAGCAAUUAAAAUGAAGUUUUCGGAUGGAUUUUUGAUUGACUGAGUGGCGGACGGGUCAGUAACGCGUGGAUAACCUGCCUCACACUGGGGGAUAACAGUUAGAAAUGACUGCUAAUACCGCAUAAGCGCACAGUACCGCAUGGUACGGUGUGAAAAACUCCGGUGGUGUGAGAUGGAUCCGCGUCUGAUUAGCCAGUUGGCGGGGUAACGGCCCACCAAAGCGACGAUCAGUAGCCGACCUGAGAGGGUGACCGGCCACAUUGGGACUGAGACACGGCCCAAACUCCUACGGGAGGCAGCAGUGGGGAAUAUUGCACAAUGGGCGAAAGCCUGAUGCAGCGACGCCGCGUGAGUGAAGAAGUAUUUCGGUAUGUAAAGCUCUAUCAGCAGGGAAGAAAAUGACGGUACCUGACUAAGAAGCCCCGGCUAACUACGUGCCAGCAGCCGCGGUAAUACGUAGGGGGCAAGCGUUAUCCGGAUUUACUGGGUGUAAAGGGAGCGUAGACGGCGAAGCAAGUCUGAAGUGAAAACCCAGGGCUCAACCCUGGGACUGCUCUGGAAACUGUUUUGCUAGAGUGUCGGAGAGGUAAGUGGAAUUCCUAGUGUAGCGGUGAAAUGCGUAGAUAUUAAAAAGAACACCAGUGGCCUAGGCGGCUUACUGGACGAUAACUGACGUUGAGGCUCGAAAGCGUGGGGAGCAAACAAAAUUCGAUACCCUGGUAGUCCACGCCGUAAACGC
rnacentral:rRNA from 1 species